rnacentral:ribozyme from 1 species
GUCAUGCCCGGUGAAUCCUAUACGCAAACAUGAAACGAAAUAAUGAAAGAGUAAAAACGGAAAAAAAGAAAAGGUAAAAAGUG